rnacentral:lncRNA from 1 species
UAUAUACAGUACAGCCUGUGACUUUCUCUUAGUAAUGUCCACCCUCUUGUAUGGUCACCUUUAAAUGGUCACCAUUUAUUGGGGUAUUCAAUCUUGAGAUGUUGGCCAUUUAUUGGGAUCAUAAAACAUAGGCUGAUGUUUUAUCUAAUUAUGUUACCUGUUGAAAUCAAUCAGGGUUGAAGUUUUCUGCUUGUGUGUGUCAUUAAAAUUUACCUGUACAGGUAUAUGUAACUAAUGACUCUUCUGAAAUUGACAUUUUAACCUUUUCUUGAAUUUAUAUAAUAAAAUUUUGUUUUAAUCUUUGUUCAUUUAAAUUACUUGUGUAUUUGUUUUGUAUGUUUUGAUUCUG